ACGUAGGCACCAAGCGUUGUCCGGAUUUAUUGGGCGUAAAGAGCUCGUAGGCGGUUCGAUAAGUCGGGUGUGAAAACUUUGGGCUCAACCCAAAGCGUGCAUUCGAUACUGUUGUGACUAGAGUUCGGUAGGGGAGUGGGGAAUUCCUAGUGUAGCGGUGAAAUGCGCAGAUAUUAGGAGGAACACCGGUGGCGAAGGCGCCACUCUGGGCCGAAACUGACGCUGAGGAGCGAAAGCGUGGGUAGCAAACAGGAUUAGAUACCCUGGUAGUCCACGCCGUAAACGUUGGGCACUAGGUGUGGGUUCCAACCAACGGAAUCCGCGCCGUCGCAAACGCAUUAAGUGCCCCGCCUGGGGAGUACGGCCGCAAGGUUA
rnacentral:rRNA from 1 species